UACGUAGGCAGCAAGCGUUGUUCGGAAUUACUGGGCGUAAAGAGUGUGUAGGCGGUGUUCUAAGUUUGUCGUGAAAUCUCCCGGCUUAACUGGGAGGGUGCGGCGAAAACUGGAAUGCUAGAGGAUGGGAGAGGUAAGCGGAAUUCCUGGUGUAGCGGUGAAAUGCGUAGAUAUCAGGAGGAACACCUGUGGUGUAGACAGCUUACUGGACCAUUGCUGACGCUGAGACACGAAAGCGUGGGUAGCAAACAGG
rnacentral:rRNA from 1 species